rnacentral:rRNA from 1 species
AUUGAACGCUGGCGGCAUGCCUUACACAUGCAAGUCGAACGGCAGCACGGGUGCUUGCACCUGGUGGCGAGUGGCGAACGGGUGAGUAAUACAUCGGAACGUACCUUAUCGUGGGGGAUAACGCAGCGAAAGUUGCGCUAAUACCGCAUACGCCCUGAGGGGGAAAGCGGGGGACCGUAAGGCCUCGCGCGAUUAGAGCGGCCGAUGUCUGAUUAGCUUGUUGGUGAGGUAAAAGCUCACCAAGGCGAGGGUCAGUAGCUGGUCUGAGAGGACGAUCAGCCACACUGGGACUGAGACACGGCCCAGACUCCUACGGGAGGCAGCAGUGGGGAAUUUUGGACAAUGGGGGCAACCCUGAUCCAGCAAUGCCGCGUGAGUGAAGAAGGCCUUCGGGUUGUAAAGCUCUUUUGUCAGGGAAGAAACAGCAGCUCUAACACAGUCUGCGAAUGACGGUACCUGAAGAAUAAGCACCGGCUAACUACGUGCCAGCCGCCGCGGUAA